UUUAGAUCACAAUAGGCGUCUUGGAGAUUAUGAAGUGCAAAAAAUUAUUAGCCAUGUAUCAAUUGCUUACCCUUUUCUGAGUUGUUAAGUACAUAAGUUUGAGUGCUAGUGCUAACUGAUGUUUUUACGGUGAGGGAAAAAAUCGUGAAGAAACCAGCACAUUCAGGCAACUCCUUAAUAGAUGUGUAGUUUCUCUCGAAAUAUGUUGCAGAGCUCAGAUGGAAGAGCUUCGUGUAAAAUCUAAAAAUCUUCGGGCUCCAGAGAGAUUUGACCAUGGAUAUACGUACAUACAUACAUAAAAUCACGUCUCUUUCCCGGAGGGGUAGGCAGAGACUACAUCUUUCCACUUGCCACGAUUUCUGCAUACUUCCUUCGCUUCAACCACAUUUAUAACUGUCUUCAAGGAAGCUCGGCAGUUUCGGGUACUCUUGACCUGUCAUGUAAUAUCGCCAUUCGCCAUCCCUAACCUUAAACUAAACUCUCAGCUCAGCUCAGAGGCGUGCGUGCAGUGUUAAGUGUGGGGUUUGAAUAUUGCUGACUAUUAGCUUCAACGUGUAUAAAAGAGAUGUUCAAGAAUGGUGCUGUACGUAAAUGUAGGGAGACUUUGGACUGCGGAUGAAGAGAUUUAACUGUUUUUGAAAAUGAAUUUACCUAAAUUAAUACUUAAAGUAAAACACUGACCAAAUGUUAGCAAAACAUAAUAAGAUGAAGUAGGGAGGGGCCUGUAUUGUGUAUUGAAAAAUUAAAAAACUAUUUUUA